rnacentral:rRNA from 1 species
AGCGAACGCUGGCGGCAGGCUUAACACAUGCAAGUCGAACGGGCGUAGCAAUACGUCAGUGGCAGACGGGUGAGUAACGCGUGGGAACGUACCUUUUGGUUCGGAACAACCCAGGGAAACUUGGGCUAAUACCGGAUAAGCCCUUACGGGGAAAGAUUUAUCGCCGAAAGAUCGGCCCGCGUCUGAUUAGCUAGUUGGUGAGGUAACGGCUCACCAAGGCAACGAUCAGUAGCUGGUCUGAGAGGAUGAUCAGCCACAUUGGGACUGAGACACGGCCCAAACUCCUACGGGAGGCAGCAGUGGGGAAUAUUGGACAAUGGGCGCAAGCCUGAUCCAGCCAUGCCGCGUGAGUGAUGAAGGCCCUAGGGUUGUAAAGCUCUUUUGUGCGGGAAGAUAAUGACGGUACCGCAAGAAUAAG